UACGUAGGGUGCAAGCGUUGUCCGGAAUUAUUGGGCGUAAAGAGCUCGUAGGCGGUUUGUCGCGUCGGCUGUGAAAACCUGGGGCUCAACCCCGGGCCUGCAGCCGAUACGGGCAAACUAGAAUUCGGUAGGGGAGACUGGAAUUCCUGGUGUAGCGGUGGAAUGCGCAGAUAUCAGGAGGAACACCGGUGGCGAAGGCGGGUCUCUGGGCCGAUACUGACGCUGAGAAGCGAAAGCGUGGGGAGCAAACAGG
rnacentral:rRNA from 1 species